AUGAAACCCUUGAGUGUUUCACUAGUGCUCCUGUGGCUCCAGCUCAAUGGGAUGAGCAGCCAGCAGAAGGUGCAGCAGAGCCCAGAAUCCCUCAUUGUCUCAGAGGGAGCCAAAGCCUCUCUCAACUGCACUUUCAGUACUAGUGCUUCUCAGUCCUUCUGGUGGUACAGACAGCAUUCUGGGAAAGGCCCCAAGGUGCUGAUUUCCAUCUCCUCCAAUGGUGAUAAGCAAGAAGGCAGAUUCACAGCUCACCUCAAUAAAGCCAGCCUGCAUGUUUCCCUGCACAUCAAUGACUCCCAACCCAGUGACUCUGCUGUCUACCUCUGUGCAGUGAGCACACAGUGAUCCCCAGCCACCUGCAGCCUGCACACAAACCUACUGUACUGAGAAGACCUGAGACAGAGCACACACUACCCAGUGGAGACAUUCUGCUUCUAUUCUGUAUGCAAUAGGAAUUAAGAGUAAGAGCAGAAGCCACCAAACUAGGUAAGAUGGAUGAAGCAAAGAAGUGCAGGCUGACAGGAAUUGGAUGUAGAUCUCCCGAGAGACACAGCCAGAAUAUGGCCAAUACAUAGGCGAAUGCCAGCAGCAAACCACUGAACUGAGAAUGGGACCCCCGUUGAAGGAAUCAGAGAAAGGACUGAAAGAACUUUAAGGGGCUUGAGACCCCAUAUGAACAACAAUGCCAACCAACCAGAGCUUCCAGGGACUAAGCCAAUACCCAAAGACUAUACAUGGACUGACCCUGGGCUCCAACCUCAUAGGUAGCAAUGAAUAGCCUAGUAAGAUCACCAGUGGAAGGGGAAG